rnacentral:misc_RNA from 1 species
AAGUCGUAACAAGGUUUCCGUAGGUGAACCUGCGGAAGGAUCAUUAACACAUUUUUAUUUAUUAUUGGCAACAACGAGACGAAAAAUCACUUUUUUUUAUUUUAUUUACCAAAAAAAACCCCAAAUCUUUUUUUGCUAAUGCAAAUGACAAUUACUAAAAACAAAAAUAACUACUUUAACGUAACCAAACAACUCUUAGCAACGGAUAUCUUGGCUCUC